rnacentral:tRNA from 1 species
GUUUAAUUAGUUUAAUAUAAAAUUAUAAAUUGUGGAUUUAUAGAUGGUUCCCCAUUAGACA